rnacentral:rRNA from 1 species
GAUGCUAUUUCUAGAGAUAGAAAGUUACUUCGGUACAUCGGUGGCAGGUGGUGCAUGGUUGUCGUCAGCUCGUGUCGUGAGAUGUUGGGUUAAGUCCCGCAACGAGCGCAACCCCUAUUGUUAGUUGCCAUCAUUCAGUUGGGCACUCUAGCGAGACUGCCGGUAAUAAACCGGAGGAAGGUGGGAUGACGUCAAAUCAUCAUGCCCCUUAUGACCUGGGCUACACACGUGCUACAAUGGUUGGUACAACGAGUUGCGAGUCGGUGACGGCGAGCUAAUCUCUUAAAGCCAAUCUCAGUUCGGAUUGUAGGCUGCAACUCGCCUACAUGAAGUCGGAAUCGCUAGUAAUCGCGGAUCAGCACGCCGCGGUGAAUACGUUCCCGGGUCUU